rnacentral:rRNA from 1 species
AUUGAACGCUGGCGGCAGGCCUAACACAUGCAAGUCGAGCGCGAAAGUCUUCGGUUGAGUAGAGCGGCGGACGGGUGCGUAACGCGUAGGAAUCUACCUAGUAGUGGGGGACAACUCGGGGAAACUCGAGCUAAUACCGCAUACGCCCUAAGGGGGAAAGUGGGGGACCGUAAGGCCUCAAGCCAUUAGAUGAGCCUGCGUAGGAUUAGCUAGUGGGUAGGGUCAAGGCCGUACCAAGGCGACGAUCCUUAGCUGGUCUGAGAGGAUGAUCAGACACACUGGAACUGAGACACGGUCCAGACUCCGACGGGAGGCAGCAGUGGGGAAUCUUGCACAAUGGGCGAGAGCAUAAUGCAGCCAUGCCGCGUGUGUGAAGAAGGCCUUCGGGUUGUAAAGCACUUUAAGUGGGGAGAAAAGGGUAGUCAUUAACACUGGCUAUCUGUGAUGUUACCCACAGAAUAAGCACCGGCAAACUUCGUGCCAGCCGCCGCAGUAA